ACCUGUAAUCAAAUGAUAUUGUACAGAAAAUCUCAAAUAGAUUCUUCAGUUCUAGCUUCUAAGAAUUAGGCUUUAUACAAGGACAGAGAGUUUGCUAGUGAAAACAAGCUUCUUUCGAGGAAAAUCGUAUCUAGAAGAAAGCUGCAGUAGGGUCAUCGAUUAAAUAACAGUUGUUUUGCUAUACAUAAGAAGAUAGAGAAAGAGCAGGGAAUCGAAAGCAUUCGCGACAAGUUUCUUUCCAGUUGCGUCUCUGCCGAGCGAAAUACAUUUCAGAUGGAAUUCAUUGUCGCAUAAAUACUAUUAUUAUUACAAUAGACGUAAACAUUUAUAAAUUCACGUUGGUUGUUAUAAAGGACAAAUAAAAAAAUUAAUUGGUAAUGUAAUGCCUCAAUUUACUAAUAAUUACUUGACCGAAUUAAAUAUCUUCUGUCAGCCACUGAUGACUAUCGUGACGGCCGAUAAAAGUAGUUUUAAGUGUAUGCUUGGACGCUUCCUGUAUUCUCGCUAAUAAUCGUUGGUAAUUAAAUUUCUUCUUAGGAAAACGACGAAGAAAGUUUACGCCAAUGAGUGUACGCGUGCCAACCGAAGCGGUUACACGCGAGGCAGUUACGUGUUACGUUCUGUUACGUAGGACAAGAAACGAUCGGGAAAGGAAAAAAGAGGCUAUCAUGACACUUUUAUACAAAUUUGGAAAAGAUGUUCAGGUACUCUAAACAUUUUUAAAUGUAAUAUAUUGGAAAUACGUACCAGUAGAGAUGAGGAGACCAUUUCCAAGCCAUGGUUUGAAGAACCUGUAUUCGGCAGAUUUGUCAAUGUACACGUGACUGGAGAGGAUCACCUCAACAUCCCUUGGAUCGAUCAAGAAAACUACCAAUUUAGGACCAACCCACAACCUGAUGACGUCGCUGUAUUCGAAGGACCUUUUGUAGAUAUUUUGGAAGAUUGCUGUAACGAAGGAAAAGUUGAAAUUAAUUCGCUUCUUUUUAAGUUCUAUAAAACUUUCCAAUUGUAUAUAAUAAAUACAAAUUUCAGAUUCA